CCUGUAAAGCCUGAACUAUUGAAUGAUGGAUAGAAAAUUCAAAAUCUUUGAGAUCAGAAGAGAAAUUGCCAAUUCUCAUAUACAACAUGACUUUCAGUUUGUAUCUUGCUGUCUCUUGCUUGUCCGGAACAUGCAUUCUUUUCUUGUUCUUUUUGUAUUUCAAUCAAAAUUCUUUGGUUCUCCUUCCGUCAUUGGGCAAAAUAGUUCACUAAUUACAAUUCAGAAUAGUCUCUUUAAUUGUUUAUCUUUCUUUUAUUUGCCAUGAUGCUCCCAAGGACAUACACCGCAAGCGUUUUCUGAUCAACACAUCGGCGGGCUUUGGCUGGAAUGACGCUGCCGGCGGGGUUAACCUCGUUUUCCUUUCCUUGAUCGGAUUCCCAAGGCGUCGUUGGGAAGAACAAGAAGAAAAAAGUGGCCCCACUUGGUGUGAGGAAGCAUUUCCCAUCCAUCUGCUUGGAGAUGAGUGACCUUGGAUGUCACAAAGUGGCUCAACAUGCCCCUCAUGCUCAUCAGCCAGGAAGCGCCUCGCUCACCUCGCGCCUCGGCUAUGGGUCUGUCGUUCUGUUUUUCGUCAGGGUGCGUUUCAUUUGUCCAGAAAGAGUGAUCUCAUGAUUGAUGACUCCCACCGCGGCCCUUCAACCACAUCAGACUGUCUCGGGCCUUAUCUGCAAAUGUGUAUGGCCUGCCGGUGGGCAAUUUAGGACAGUUUAGUCCUCAAGCACUUCUCCACCAGCCUUUGCUUUGAGAGCCGCAAAAUAAUUUGCAGUAAAUUGUCCUAUCGUUUAAAAAGGUGCACAGCUGCAAUGUGUUGAGUGGCAAUAAAUAAUAAACCAAU